GAUGACGUCAGAUCAUCAUGCCCCUUACGUCCAGGGCUUCACGCAUGCUACAAUGGCCGGUACAACGGGAUGCGACACCGUGAGGUGGAGCGGAUCCCUGAAAACCGGUCUCAGUUCGGAUCGGAGCCUGCAACCCGGCUCCGUGAAGGCGGAGUCGCUAGUAAUCGCGGAUCAGCAACGCCGCGGUGAAUGCGUUCCCGGGCCUUGUACACACCGCCCGUCAAGUCAUGAAAGUGGGUAGCACCCGAAGCCGGUGGCCUAACCUUUGUGGGGGGAGCCGUCUAAGGUGAGACUCGUGAUUGGGACUAAGUCGUAACAAGGUAGCCGUACCGGAAGGUGCGGCUGGAUCACCUCCUUUCUACGGAG
rnacentral:rRNA from 1 species